GCCAGGUGUGGUGGUGCAUGCCUGUAAUCCUAGCAGCUCGGGAGGCUGAGGCAGGAGAAUUGUGAGUUCAAAGCCAGUCUCAG
rnacentral:sRNA from 1 species